CGGCGAACUGCAUCAGCCUCUUCGUCUGUAUCCUUGUGGGAAUCACCUUGAUUACCGCCGGGUUUCUUGGUGUAUAGACGGCACGUACGCCGGAAUUCUUGGCAGGGGGUUCAAAUCAAUUAUCUUAUCUUGUUCUAACUCUUUACAAAUUUAUUAUUUUUUUCUAAAAUCUGUAUAGAAUUUAUACACAGUUUGGAUCACAGAUCUAGGGCUAGAUCCACCCCUGAUUCUUGGUGCAUAGAUGGGUAUUAUUCAUGGACAUUCAUCAUUCAGGUGAGGUCACGUUUCCUUAUUCUUGAAUCGCUGCGUCUUUUGCGUUCGUCAAAUCUGCCAAAUCACUGUGUUAAAAAUGAGUUUGACUGAUUUUCUUUUCCGAAUUAAUACUCUUUGUUUGCAGAUGGACUAGUAGAGUAAUUUAGCAGAGCGAAUGAUCAGCCACUUUGGGGGGUGCUGUUCCUCUGAAUCGUUCAGCAUAGCUUCCGAUUCCUGAUUCCUUAAUCGGCCACGCUAUAGUGUUGUGCUUGCAAGGGUCGUUGUCAUGCCUGUUUCGUUCUGUAUUCUCGUUGCAACUAAUUGAGAUAAUAAAUACUAUUAC
rnacentral:lncRNA from 1 species